ACCUGGGUCAUUUUCUAAGGGGGACUUGUGAAUAUCUCAGGACCCACAAUCAAGUGAUGUGGCUCUUCAGCAUGGUUUCUGCCCACGUAUCAAAUUUUGACAUAUACCUAAAGAAGCACCUAGGUGAUAUGACUCUCUUUUUCUGCCUGAGACCAGCCUACUGGUGACAUUCGACCAUAUCUGUGAGCCGAUAGCCUAAUGGUCAUGGUGACAUAUUACUUCAGGCUGUACCCAGAAAGAAAAGAAAGAAAGAAAGAAAGAAAGAAUGAAAGAAAGAAAGAAAGAAAGAAAGAAGGAAAGAAAGAGAAAGAAAGAAAGAAGAAAGAGAAAGAAAGAAGGAAUGAAAGAAAAGAAAGAAAGAAAGAAAAAGAAAGAAAGAAAGAAAAGAGAAAGAAAGAAGAAAGAGAAAGAAAGAAACAAAGAAACAAAGAAACAAAGAAAGAAACAAAGAAAAUUAUGUCUUCUAUCUAGGUCUGUCAUGAUGAAAAGCCAGAAUACAAGCAGUGACCACCACACCUGACAGACCUGCUGCUGCACACAUCUGUACUCUCCAAUCAACAAAACCUGAUGCUAAAAACAGAAAAGGGGAGAUGUAGGAGAUUGGUCAGGGUGGUGGGAAAAAUUGUAGAAAGAUACAAACCUUCUUGGAAGGCUGGAAGGUUUUACAAAAGCUUCAGAAUAGGAUUUGGCUGAAGGCAGCCAGAUUCUCUUAUCUGGUGCCUUAAAGCUUAAGUUAAAUAACAAGGGGAUAUAAAGAAACUGAUCUAGAUAAGUUAGUUUACUUAGGCCUUGGAACCUGGUCUUUAAUCAUCUGCAGGACUGCUCUCCAGGGAGGGCGACUAUGUUAAUUAUCCACAAGUGUGUUAACUCAAAGCCUUUGUUAUUGAAUUUAUACUGAAUAAAUGCCUGCAGUGCCAGCAUGUCAGGGCGGUGGCUGCUGACUCUUUACAGCACCCUGCUCGGUGUAUGUAAGCUGCCUGGUCCAUUAGCUCACUGUUUCACUGG